GGCUGAGCGGGGUGCGUGCGGCCGGUCGGCACACAGCUGCACAGCUGAGCUGGGGUGGAAAUCAGGCAAACAGUUGUGUGUGAGUGGUACGGCGCAGAAAUUGAAGCCUUGGUUUAAAAGGGUUGUGCAAAUGCAGUGAAGAAGAGGCUGGUGUGAAAACGAAAGGUGUUCUGUGAGGUCAAAGCUGAGCUGAAAGGCCACGGCAGCUGUCUUCACCAGGCUAGCACUUCAGCUUUCUGGCAUCAAGGACCUAGGAUACAAUCCUGCAGGCUUGAGCUAUCUGGAAGAUGAAGCCCUGGUUGCAGUUGUUCUUUACCUGUACACUCUUGAUCUGGCACACAGAAGCAGAGUUCUUCACCUCCAUAGGUCAAAUGACAGACCUGAUUUAUGCAGAGAAGGACUUGGUACAGUCUUUAAAGGAAUACAUUCGAGCAGAAGAGAUCAAGCUCUCUCAGAUUAAAAGCUGGGCUGAAAAAAUGGAUGUACUGACUAGCAAAUCAAGCUCUGAUCCAGAAGGAUAUCUGGCACAUCCUGUAAAUGCAUAUAAACUGGUGAAGCGUUUAAAUACUGACUGGCUGGAAUUGGAAAACCUGGUUCUUCAGGAUACAACAAAUGGCUUUAUUGCAAAUCUUACAAUUCAGCGUCAGUUUUUUCCAACUGAAGAAGAUGAGACUGGAGCUGCGAAAGCUCUGAUGCGCCUGCAGGACACGUACAAACUGGAUCCUGAAACACUCUCUCGAGGCAAUUUACCAGGAACAAAGUAUAGAUCCUCUUUGACAGUAGGUGAUUGCUUUGGUAUGGGGAAGACUGCUUACAAUGACGGAGAUUACUACCACACAGUGCUCUGGAUGGAACAAGCCUUAAAACAACACGAUGAGGGGGAAGAUACGACAGUCAGCAAAGUGGAGAUCCUAGAUUAUCUCAGCUAUGCGGUUUUCCAGUUUGGGGAUUUACAUAGAGCCAUGGAGCUUACCAGACGUCUGAUAUCCCUUGACAGUACUCACGAGAGAGCAGGCAGUAAUCUGCGGUACUUUGAAAAGUUGCUGGAGAAGGAGAGAGAGAAGGAGCAAGAGAAGUCAAACAAGACCAUGACAACGACUGAACCAGUGGUGCAAAGUGGUGCCUAUGAGAGGCCACUUGACUAUUUACCAGAGCGUGAUAUCUAUGAGGCCCUCUGCAGAGGUGAAGGGGUGAAAAUGACACCUCGAAGACAGAAAAGGCUGUUUUGUAGGUACCAUGAUGGAAACAGAAACCCUCAUCUGCUCAUAGCUCCCUUUAAGGAAGAAGAUGAAUGGGAUAGCCCUCAUAUUGUACGAUACUAUGACGUCAUGUCUGAUGAAGAAAUUGAAAAAAUCAAACAACUAGCGAAGCCAAAGCUGGCACGAGCCACAGUACGUGAUCCCAAAACCGGUGUCCUUACAGUGGCUAGCUACAGGGUAUCAAAAAGCUCAUGGUUGGAGGAAGAUGAUGAUCCUGUUGUGGCCAAGGUCAAUCAACGAAUGCAACAGAUCACAGGGUUAACAGUGAAAACAGCUGAACUACUGCAGGUUGCCAACUAUGGAAUGGGAGGGCAGUAUGAGCCGCACUUCGAUUUUUCUAGGCGACCCUUUGACAGCACACUCAAAUCGGAAGGAAAUAGGCUAGCGACGUUUCUUAACUAUGUAAGUACCUCUUUGUCUGCUGUCUGUGAGCUUGAAGUUUGCAGUUAUUCUCAUUUAAUUUUAUAGAAAGAUGAGCCAGAUGCUUUCAAGCGGUUAGGGACUGGAAAUCGUGUGGCCACUUUUUUAAACUAUGUACCAAGCAGGAGGACACCAGAGUGAUGAGUGAUGUAGAAGCUGGAGGAGCUACAGUUUUCCCAGAUUUUGGGGCAGCAAUAUGGCCCAAGAAGGGGACAGCAGUGUUUUGGUACAAUCUUUUCAGAAGUGGUGAGGGUGAUUAUAGAACGAGGCAUGCAGCUUGUCCAGUACUAGUAGGGUGUAAAUGGGUUUCAAACAAAUGGUUUCAUGAAAGAGGAAAUGAAUUCUUAAGACCAUGUGGGAGAACAGAGGUCGACUGAAACCCAACCUGCUACAGGCCUUUGCUUCUCUGUCUCCUUUUCUACUGUUGGUUGUUCCAGUUCAUUUCUAAGAAAUGAUCCGUCUUUUUCUCCAAGAGUCCUGGCACUUUACCAAAAAGAACAACAAAAUGUGUAACACCUGUGAAAGCAAGUAAAUGGCAUCGUACACGUGUGUUUUGGUUGCUGUUAUUUCCGUGUUCAUGUUCCCCCGCCUUCCACCCUCCCAAUGUUCUCUGUACCAGUGGUGCGAACAGCGCUGUGGGUGAUUCGAUAUGUUUGGUGCCUGGUCUUGUGCCUUUUGUACCUCAGACGAUUUAGAUGUUAAAUAUUUCUUUGAACCAAAGCUUUUUUUUAAAGUUUUGUGUACAUGUUGAUUUUAUUGUAUUUCUAGGGAUCACAUGUUUUGAAACAAAAAUAAAUGUUCUUUCCAUAAA